rnacentral:rRNA from 1 species
GACGAACGCUGGCGGCGUGCUUAACACAUGCAAGUCGAACGGAAAGGCCUUGCUUUUGUGGGUUGCUCGAGUGGCGAACGGGUGAGUAACACGUGAGUAUCCUGUCCCUGUCUUACGGAUAACUUCUGGAAACUCCGGCUCAUACCGGAUAGGAUCUCCUGCUGCAUGGUGGUCGUUGGAAAGUUUCGGCUGUUGGGGAUGGACUCGCGGCUUAUCAGCUUGUUGGUGUGGUAGUGGCUUACCAAGGCUUUGACGGGUAGCCGGCCUGAGAGGCUGACCGGCGACAUGGGGACUGAGAGACGGCCCAGACGCGUAUGGGAGGCAGCGGGCGGGAAUAUUGCACAAUAGGCGGAAGCCAGAUGCAGAAACGCUGCGUGCGGGAUGACGGCCUUCGGGUUAUAAACCGCUGUCGACUGAGACGAGGCGGGAGUGACGGUAAUGGGUAAAGAAGCACCGGCUAACUACGUG